ACGAAGUGAGUGGCGGACGGGUGAGUAACACGUGGGUAACCUGCCCAGAAGCAGGGGAUAACACCUGGAAACAGAUGCUAAUACCGUAUAACAGAGAAAACCGCCUGGUUUUCUUUUAAAAGAUGGCUCUGCUAUCACUUCUGGAUGGACCCGCGGCGCAUUAGCUAGUUGGUGAGGUAACGGCUCACCAAGGCGAUGAUGCGUAGCCGACCUGAGAGGGUAAUCGGCCACAUUGGGACUGAGACACGGCCCAGACUCCUACGGGAGGCAGCAGUAGGGAAUCUUCCACAAUGGACGCAAGUCUGAUGGAGCAACGCCGCGUGAGUGAAGAAGGGUUUCGGCUCGUAAAGCUCUGUUGUUAAAGAAGAACGUGGGUGAGAGUAACUGUUCACCCAGUGACGGUAUUUAACCAGAAAGCCACGGCUAACUACGUGCCAGCAGCCGCGGUAAUACGUAGGUGGCAAGCGUUAUCCGGAUUUAUUGGGCGUAAAGCGAGCGCAGGCGGUCUUUUAAGUCUAAUGUGAAAGCCUUCGGCUCAACCGAAGAAGUGCAUUGGAAACUGGGAGACUUGAGUGCAGAAGAGGACAGUGGAACUCCAUGUGUAGCGGUGAAAUGCGUAGAUAUAUGGAAGAACACCAGUGGCGAAGGCGGCUGUCUGGUCUGUAACUGACGCUGAGGCUCGAAAGCAUGGGUAGCGAACAGGAUUAGAUACCCUGGUAGUCCAUGCCGUAAACGAUGAUUACUAAGUGUUGGAGGGUUUCCGCCCUUCAGUGCUGCAGCUAACGCAUUAAGUAAUCCGCCUGGGGAGUACGACCGCAAGGUUGAAACUCAAAAGAAUUGACGGGGGCCCGCACAAGCGGUGGAGCAUGUGGUUUAAUUCGAAGCUACGCGAAGAACCUUACCAGGUCUUGACAUCUUCUGCCAACCUAAGAGAUUAGGCGUUCCCUUCGGGGACAGAAUGACAGGUGGUGCAUGGUUGUCGUCAGCUCGUGUCGUGAGAUGUUGGGUUAAGUCCCGCAACGAGCGCAACCCUUAUUACUAGUUGCCAGCAUUCAGUUGGGCACUCUAGUGAGACUGCCGGUGACAAACCGGAGGAAGGUGGGGACGACGUCAAAUCAUCAUGCCCCUUAUGACCUGGGCUACACACGUGCUACAAUGGAUGGUACAACGAGUCGCGAAACCGCGAGGUUUAGCUAAUCUCUUAAAACCAUUCUCAGUUCGGACUGUAGGCUGCAACUCGCCUACACGAAGUCGGAAUCGCUAGUAAUCGCGGAUCAGCAUGCCGCGGUGAAUACGUUCCCGGGCCUUGUACACACCGCCCGUCACACCAUGAGAGUUUGUAACACCCAAAGCCGGUGGGGUAACCUUUUAGGAG
rnacentral:rRNA from 1 species